CCUAUCUCCACAGUCCAGAUUCGUCCCCCUCGACUCCCCUCCCACCUCUCCUGCCGCCAGCCUUCCUUCCCCUCACCAGAUCCCAUGUGCUCCCGUUUGCCACAGCAGGACCCUGCACUCCCUUCUCCACCUCUCCCGUCAACCUCCCAGCCACAAUCCCCUAUACCCCAUUCACUGCGGCAGGCCCCGACAAUGGCGUCGGCGGAUCUGGCUGCCACUAGGUGAUCCCCUCCUUCCGCCGUGCAUCUGAUGCGAGUGGUCAUCGGUGCUCACACUGUCGGAGAGGAAGACAUCCCGUCACCGGCUCUGUCUGCCUCAUCUAGCAGCACGGUGCCUCUGGACAUGGGGGUGGCAAUAUGGAGCCGCAACCUCCCCUCCAACUAGGACCGAUUCAAGGAAGAACCUAAGGCGGACGACGCUGCCGAAUGGGCCGGCGAGGUGGCGCCGCGGAGCAAGAGCACCGAAUUCGCCUUCCUUCUCGAGCAGGCCCGGGCGCAGCCCCCCGAGGAGCGGGGCCUCGGCGCGGCCAGUCGGCUCACUUCCAAGGACUCAACAUUUGGCGGCAAUGGUAGGAGUGGCAGAUUAUGCAGAGGAAGAGGAUGAGAAGAAACUUGUGCUUCUCAUCCAAGCUUUGUAGAACUCUCUUGUUGUGCGAUUAUGCACUUGUUCGAUCCUCUUUCUGUGCACUUGCACUUGCAGAAGUAUUCUUUUGUGCAUUGUAAAAUUUAUUUGAUGUGCACUUGUUAGGCCUUGAACCUUGAUGUGUAGAGGAGUCAUGGAUGAUGUAUCCUAUGUCAUGUGAUGUGCUACUGAAAUGAAAUAUAUAGUUUAUUUGCAA